UUGUGGGUUUGAAUGUUGUAGCCAGGACCAGUUGCCUGUUCUUCCUUUUCACUCGAUGCGUCGUAUUCCACGGGGAACCUGGUUACCCCAGUGGUUCCUCACCUGUGGACGGACACGGGCUGUGUCUAGCCCCUGGCUUUUCUGAAUAAAGCUACUGUGGCCCAUUCUUGUACAUGUCUUUUUAUGGACAUGUGUUUCCAGUUCUCUUGGUUAAAUUCCUAGACGUGGAAUUGCUGAGUUGUAGAAUUAGGUGUAUGUUUAGUUUUAUAAAGCAGCUAUAAAAUGUUACACCACUGCCCAUCGUGAAAACUGAGCUGUUCUUUAAACCAUUCAGCAGAAGGUUGGCUUUCUGCUUGAGAGGCGGAGGGCGGGUGAGCGGUUCCUGCGCCCACAGGGAGAUGCUUGGGGGAGUGUGCCCCGUUUGCCCUGCUGGGGGCGGCACUGCUCUGGAGAAAGCAGCCGUGGCCUCCGAUGUAGACGGGCCUGCUUCUCCGCCUUCCUGGACAUCCAGCGGGAGGACUGGUUUUUCCUGGCCGUGCCUCGCCCUCUCCCUCCCCCACUGCCUCUCCCCAAUGGCGGGAGGAUCGCAGUCUUUGCCUCCUGGUUCUUUUCCCAUCUGUGCCCGCCUUUCUGUGUUCAUGGCGAACAGAAGGUGGGUUUGGACUCACCUGAUCACCAUGGAGUAGUCACACGUGCAUUUCUAGUUUGUUUCAGUGCGAGGGUGCCGGCUCAGCAUGUGUUGUAGGUGGCUGGCUUCCUGCAAGUCAGCCGCCCAGUGGGCUGGGCAGCCGGGAUACGCUGGCCUCGCCGCUCCUCCGAGUCCCGUAGGCCAGUGCUUGGGGGGUGUGGUUAAUAGGGCUACUAAUGUGGAUUCUAUUUUAUCCCACCUCUUUCGGGAAAGUCAUCUGAGGACUCAACACAGUAGGGCUCUGUAAGGGGCGAGAUUGGGGAAGGGCUAGAGGUGAUCAAGAAUGCAAGUACAGCAGCUGCAAACAUCAGGCGAGUUGGCUGUGAACAGAGACGCUCUAAAUGGAACAGCUCUCUGAGCUGCAGAGACAGUGUGUCCUGAGUUGCUCACCAAGAGGAGUGAUUCACUGGGAAGCUGUGUCCUGGGAUAGAGAGGUCUCCGGCCAUUGAGGGCUGGUGACAAAUGUCAGGCUGGGUUCCUGCAGCUGCUGCUGUGCCCCGUCCCCCAGGAAAAGCCAGGACAGACCCUGCGAGGUCGCUGCCUUCUUCUGUCGGCGCUGCUGUUUCCCAGGUGAUGUGGGUGUCCGGCCCAGGGCUCAGCGGUCAGGGGCGUUUGCAGCCCCCGUGGGCACUUGGUGUGUGCGUGCUUGCUACCCACGCCGAACGGACCUGCAGCCAUUGGGGCUGGUUUUUGGUGGAGCACUUGCUGUUGCCUGGGGCUGGGGAGCAGGAGUAAUGUUCCAGUGGGGAUGCUGCUCAUGUUUGCUUUUUACAAAAAUGAUGCUCGUAUCCAGUUACUAAAAUCAUGGAGACAUGGAGCAUACUGUUCUCCGGGGUUUCCUAAGCCGUUGGUGUUGACAAGGCUGCAUUCCUCAUGUUGAAAGGAAGAGGAAGACCGGAAUAUAAGGCUUAUCUGUAUUUAAGUGUUUCAGAAGGAAGAUGGAUCUGCUCUGUGUUUAAAUAUAGCACGUGUUUGCUACCGAGUUGUUGGAGAAUAAGCAAUCGAGUAUGUAGGUCAUCGACUUGGGAGAAUGAGUUCUGAGUCCUUUUUGCAUCUGAAUAACACAGUCUCACAGUUGGGCCGCGAUGCUACGCAGAAUUGGGUUACACAGAGUUCAGCAGGAUGUCUGGGAGGCGAACAGGGAGUCACAGGGGAUACCUUUGCCCCUUAAGGCAUUAGGGGUGUGACUUGGUGCGGGGCCCUGCUGGUCGCAGCCAGCCCGCCGCAGUGGCACUCACCAGUCUCGGGUGUGUGGAGAGAGGGGCUGGGUGCCGCGCCCCCACGCAGAUCCGCUGGAGAAGGGGCGAGGGCUGUACUCAAUCAGGAUAAAUGCCAGCGGCGUAUUUUAAUGCGCUGGAUGCAGACGCACUGUGCGGAGUUGCGUGUUUAAAGGGAACUGCCACCCCCUUUGAAGCAGCCUGCAGCCCGUGGAUGGCACCCAGCUCGGCCGCCCCUGCUCACCUCGGCCGUCCCAGCCCACUGGCUGUGCAGGGCACAGAGGUGGAAGGGCGGAGCCAGGGAACGCAGAUGGAUGGACUGCAUCUGGGACAGCACAGAAAAUAGUCUGUUUUGUUUUUUAAAAAGUGGCUGAGUGCCAAGACUUCCCUUAAAGUUUUCCACGCGCUGUCCUUAUAUUUUAAGACUAGAGUUCUAAAAUCUUG